UGGUCGACCAGCUGGAAAGUAA
rnacentral:piRNA from 1 species